rnacentral:rRNA from 1 species
AGCGAACGCUGGCGGCAGGCCUAACACAUGCAAGUCGAACGGAUCCUUCGGGAUUAGUGGCGGACGGGUGAGUAACACGUUGGAACGUGCCAUUUGGUUCGGAACAACUCAGGGAAACUUGAGCUAAUAACGGAUGUGCCUUUCGGGGGAAAGAUUUAUCGCCAUUGGAGCGGCCCGCGUCUGAUUAGCUAGUUGGUGAGGUAACGGCCCACCAAGGCGACGAUCAGUAGCUGCUCUGAGAGGAUGAUCAGCCACACUGGAACUGAGACACGGCCCAGACUCCUACGGGAGGCAGCAGUGGGGAAUCUUGCGCAAUGGGCGAAAGCCUGACGCAGCCAUGCCGCGUGAAUGAUGAAGGUCUUAGGAUUGUAAAAUUCUUUCAGCGGGGACGAUAAUGACGGUACCCGCAGAAGAAGCUCCGGCUAACUUCGUG